GAUGAACGCUGGCGGCGUGCCUAAUACAUGCAAGUCGAGCGAACGGACGAGAAGCUUGCUUCUCUGAUGCUAGCGGCGGACGGGUGAGUAACACGUGGAUAACCUACCUAUAAGACUGGGAUAACUUCGGGAAACCGGAGCUAAUACCGGAUAAUAUUUUGAACCGCAUGGUUCAAAAGUGAAAGACGGUCUUGCUGUCACUUAUAGAUGGAUCCGCGCUGCAUUAGCUAGUUGGUAAGGUAACGGCUUACCAAGGCAACGAUGCAUAGCCGACCUGAGAGGGUGAUCGGCCACACUGGAACUGAGACACGGUCCAGACUCCUACGGGAGGCAGCAGUAGGGAAUCUUCCGCAAUGGGCGAAAGCCUGACGGAGCAACGCCGCGUGAGUGAUGAAGGUCUUCGGAUCGUAAAACUCUGUUAUUAGGGAAGAACAUAUGUGUAAGUAACUGUGCACAUCUUGACGGUACCUAAUCAGAAAGCCACGGCUAACUACGUGCCAGCAGCCGCAGUAAUACGUAGGUGGCAAGCGUUAUCCGGAAUUAUUGGGCGUCAAGCGCGCGUAGGCGGUUUUUUAAGUCUGAUGUGAAAGCCCACGGCUCAACCGUGGAGGGUCAUUGGAAACUGGAAAACUUGAGUGCAGAAGAGGAAAGUGGAAUUUCCUGUGUAGCGGUGAAAUGCGCAGAGAUAUGGAGGAACACCAGUGGCGAAGGCGACUUUCUGGUCUGUAACUGACGCUGAUGUGCGAAAGCGUGGGGAUCAAACAGGAUUAGAUACCCUGGUAGUCCACGCCGUAAACGAUGAGUGCUAAGUGUUAGGGGGUUUCCGCCCCUUAGUGCUGCAGCUAACGCAUUAAGCACUCCGCCUGGGGAGUACGACCGCAAGGUUGAAACUCAAAGGAAUUGACGGGGACCCGCACAAGCGGUGGAGCAUGUGGUUUAAUUCGAAGCAACGCGAAGAACCUUACCAAAUCUUGACAUCCUUUGACAACUCUAGAGAUAGAGCUUUCCCCUUCGGGGGACAAAGUGACAGGUGGUGCAUGGUUGUCGUCAGCUCGUGUCGUGAGAUGUUGGGUUAAGUCCCGCAACGAGCGCAACCCUUAAGCUUAGUUGCCAUCAUUAAGUUGGGCACUCUAAGUUGACUGCCGGUGACAAACCGGAGGAAGGUGGGGAUGACGUCAAAUCAUCAUGCCCCUUAUGAUUUGGGCUACACACGUGCUACAAUGGACAAUACAAAGGGCAGCGAAACCGCGAGGUCAAGCAAAUCCCAUAAAGUUGUUCUCAGUUCGGAUUGUAGUCUGCAACUCGACUACAUGAAGCUGGAAUCGCUAGUAAUCGUAGAUCAGCAUGCUACGGUGAAUACGUUCCCGGGUCU
rnacentral:rRNA from 1 species